AGAGUUUGAUCAUGGCUCAGGACGAACGCUGGCGGCGUGCUUAACACAUGCAAGUCGAACGAUGACGGUGGUGCUUGCACCGCCUGAUUAGUGGCGAACGGGUGAGUAACACGUGAGUAACCUGCCCUCCACUUCGGGAUAACCUCGGGAAAUCGUGGCUAAUACCGGAUACGAACACUCAUCGCAUGGUGGGUGUUGGAAAGAUUUAUCGGUGGGGGAUGGACUCGCGGCCUAUCAGUUUGUUGGUGAGGUGAUGGCUCACCAAGACGAUGACGGGUAGCCGGCCUGAGAGGGCGACCGGCCACACUGGGACUGAGACACGGCCCAGACUCCUACGGGAGGCAGCAGUGGGGAAUAUUGCACAAUGGGCGAAAGCCUGAUGCAGCGACGCCGCGUGGGGGAUGACGGCCUUCGGGUUGUAAACCCCUUUCAGUAGGGAAGAAGCGAGAGUGACGGUACCUGCAGAAGAAGCGCCGGCUAACUACGUGCCAGCAGCCGCGGUAAUACGUAGGGGCGCAAGCGUUGUCCGGAAUUAUUGGGCGUAAAGAGCUUGUAGGUGGCUUGUCGCGUCUGCCGUGAAAACCCGAGGCUCAACCUCGGGCGUGCGGUGGGUACGGGCAGGCUAGAGUGUGGUAGGGGAGACUGGAACUCCUGGUGUAGCGGUGAAAUGCGCAGAUAUCAGGAAGAACACCGAUGGCGAAGGCAGGUCUCUGGGCCAUUACUGACACUGAGAAGCGAAAGCAUGGGUAGCGAACAGGAUUAGAUACCCUGGUAGUCCAUGCCGUAAACGUUGGGCACUAGGUGUGGGGGACAUUCCACGUUUUCCGCGCCGUAGCUAAC
rnacentral:rRNA from 1 species